GAUCUUGAUUUACUUGGAUAACUGUGGUAAUUCUAGAGCUAAUACAUGCAACCAAGCUCCGACCUUGCGGAAGGAGUGCGUUUAUUAGACCAAGACCAAUCAGGCUUUGCCUGCAAUUUGGUGACUCUGAAUAACUUUGCUGAUCACACGGUCCUAGCACCGGUGACAUAUCUUUCAAGUGUCUGCCCUAUCAACUUUCGAUGGUAGUUUAUGUGCCUACCAUGGUGGUAACGGGUAACGGAGAAUAAGGGUUCGACUCCGGAGAGGGAGCCUGAGAAAUGGCUACCACAUCCAAGGAAGGCAGCAGGCGCGCAAAUUACCCACUCUCAGCACGAGGAGGUAGUGACGAAAAAUAACGAGACGGUUCUCUAUGAGGCCCGUCAUCGGAAUGGGUACAAUUUAAACCCUUUAACGAGGAUCUAUUGGAGGGCAAGUCUGGUGCCAGCAGCCGCGGUAAUUCCAGCUCCAAUAGCAUAUACCAAUUCUGUUGCUGUUAAAAAGCUCGUAGUUGGAUCUUUUCUGAGGAUGGAGUCUGUCUCAAGGACAUGAACUCUUUUCCAAGGAUAUCUUAGCUGGU
rnacentral:rRNA from 1 species